UACAGAGGUCUCAAGCGUUGUUCGGAAUCACUGGGCGUAAAGGGUGCGUAGGUGGCGCGGAAAGUCAGAUGUGAAAUCCGGGGGCUCAACCUCCGAAUUGCAUCCGAUACUCCCGUGCUAGAGAACUGGAGGGGAGUCUGGAAUUCUCGGUGUAGCAGUGAAAUGCGUGGAUAUCGAGAGGAACACUAGUGGCGAAGGCGAGACUCUGGACAGUUUCUGACACUGAUGCACGAAGGCUAGGGGAGCAAACGGG
rnacentral:rRNA from 1 species